GCACGUCAUCACUGCAGCUGAGGAAACACAGAUCGCCAGGGAGCACCAGAGAAGCGGCUUAUUUAAUAGGAAUUUUUGUUAUCUUGGAAAACCCCUUUAAAGAGAACCUGUCUCCUCUCCUGACUUGGCUGUUUUAGACAAAAACCCUUUUAAGGAGAAGGCAGAACUGGCAAAAAUGAAACCUAUACCAAGACAAGGGAAGGUCGAUGAAACAAUCAAAAGUCUGACGUUUUGUGCAAUUGAUCAAGUUCCUAUGAGAUCAAGAGGUUGCGAUAGGACGAAAAGACUUGCUCAGGUUGAGUGUCAUUAUAAUUGAUUUUAGGUGCUACUUCUCUGGAAUCAACGAUGAAGGUUAUGGCCACAAGAAUUGUAUAUACAUGGACUAGAAUAUGAUUUUAUCCC